UACGAAGGGGACUAGCGUUGUUCGGAUUUACUGGGCGUAAAGAGCGCGCAGGCGGCUUGGCAAGUCGGGUGUGAAAUCCCGGGGCUCAACCCCGGGACUGCAUUCGAUACUGUCAGGCUAGAGGUAGGUAGGGGAGAUCGGAAUUCCUGGUGUAGCGGUGAAAUGCGCAGAUAUCAGGAGGAACACCGGUGGCGAAGGCGGAUCUCUGGGCCUUACCUGACGCUCAGGCGCGAAAGCUAGGGGAGCGAACAGG
rnacentral:rRNA from 1 species